GGAAUUUUCCGCAAUGGGCGAAAGCCUGACGGAGCAACGCCGCGUGAGUGAUGAAGGUCUUCGGAUCGUAAAACUCUGUUAUUAGGGAAGAACAAAUUUGACGGUACCUAAUCAGAAAGCCACGGCUAACUACGUGCCAGCAGCCGCGGUAAUACGUAGGUGGCAAGCGUUAUCCGGAAUUAUUGGGCGUAAAGCGCGCGUAGGCGGUUUUUUAAGUCUGAUGUGAAAGCCCACGGCUCAACCGUGGAGGGUCAUUGGAAACUGGAAAACUUGAGUGCAGAAGAGGAAAGUGGAAUUCCAUGUGUAGCGGUGAAAUGCGCAGAGAUAUGGAGGAACACCAGUGGCGAAGGCGACUUUCUGGUCUGUAACUGACGCUGAUGUGCGAAAGCGUGGGGAUCAAACAGGAUUAGAUACCCCUGUAGUC
rnacentral:rRNA from 1 species